AGGAUCCACAGUUAGGUUAAUUAAUAAAAACAUUCUUGCUGUAGUUCUUUGUGUAUUCCACUUGGUUGUGGAAAUACAUGUCCAGUACAUGAUUUUUUUUGUAAAUGAUUCUUACGGAUUGUUUUUAGGGACAAUUAAGUCAUUAUUAAUGCCGGGUAGGGGGCUGGAGGAAAUUUUUAUGAAUAGCAAAAAUUUCUCAUGACCCCUUAUUUUUCUAACAAAAUCAAA